UGGAGGAGGGCGGGAGGCAGCGGGCUAAAGGGAAGCGGCCGAGAGGCGCCCGGGAGGCUGCUCCCUCGAUUUAGGGACCCUUCUCUCCCGAGGCGGAGUCGGGCGAGCAAACUCAGAGCAGUGCUGCUGUGGUGGCGGCGGGGGCAUCCAAGCAGCUGAGGAGAGGCUGCCCAGGAGCCCCGGAGGCUUCGCCUGCGCGCCGAGCCCAGCUAAAUGCCAUACCUUUCAGUCCCCUGGUCAAGCUGAGAAAAGGCCUCCUUUCCCUCACGCGCCGUGUCCAGCGCCUGCUUGGGGCGCGCUGCUGAUCUAAAGCGGUGGCCAUCGAUGAACGGGGGGAGAUCCGAGAACAAUAUACUGCUACAAAGCAUUGUUAAGCCAGCGAUGGAGACUAGUCCAAAACCAUCCAUUGAACUUCACUGAUGAGUGAGGACUUUUAUUUCUAUUCUUAUUAUUACCAGUGACGCUCAGAGGAACUCACAGAACAUUGAAAGCCAACAACAACAAGACACAAAUCCAAGUCUGCUUAAAAGUUGGAAUAGCUCCUCAACUGUUCAGAAAGCUUGUCCCUGGAGUGUUCAGCCACCAUUAAGGCAGCUUUUACUGAUGUUUGCACCUUUAUUUCAAGAAAAUGAAAUGGCAGCCUGUCUAUCACAUGAUGAGUGAAAGCAGCAGUAAACAGAGACUGAAACAGAAGUACAAUACACCAGGGAAGAACCUGCAUGGGUUUAAUGUAUUCCCACCAGAAAUCAGAAAAGUCUCUCUGAAUCUUAUGUAUUUAUUGUUAAAGAUCUACACUGUUUACGUGGAUAAAGGCAUCUGUGUACUUUAUAUUUUGUUGUUGCAGAAAGGCAUUUCAUAAGCAUUUGCAUUGCAAGUAAGCGCUCCUAGCACUUGCAAACAUUGACAGAAAUGUAAAUGCAGUUGGAGAGUGACUUUGGCAUAUUCUUAAUUAUGUUGGCACACUUUUGUAUUGAUUUUUGCUCUGUUAAUUACUAAAGUAUCAAUAUGUUGUAAAAUAACAUGCAUUCAUUAUCUUUACUUGCAGUCCAUUUAAAUAAUUACAAAAAAACCCAAAACCAACUACUCACACAACACUCAAACACAUACACACACACACCCUCUCAGUCAGCAGUACCAUUGAACCAGCAAUGAACUUACUAUUAUUUCUUUACUGUGCACACUUAAUUAAAUAAAGUAUCAAUCAUGUACUGUUCCAUGUCCUCUCUCCAAUAAUGAGCAUGCUGAAUGUUCCUCUCACUUGGUAUUUGUUGAAUCUUUGUAAAUGACACAGACUUAUUGGGAACAUCUCUGCACUUUUCUUUGAAUGUGAUUAAAAAUGGUUGUGUUUUGAAAUUGGCUGGGAUUUUCCCAUUUUCCAGAGAGGUUUACCUGAUUUAAAUUUUCCUUUUCUUUUUUGCAGCUCUAAAGCAGGGGCAAACAACCUAACAGGGCCAUCUUCUGGCCUGAGCCUAAUUGCCAAAGGUUUUGGUAAACUACCAACCUAUUCUUUAUGUACCUCUGUUAACAAGAACAUGAAAGGGAGAGAGACAAAAGAAAUCAGAAGGAAAAUGAUUCAGGACUUUCGAUGAGCGCCAUGGCAAGCUAGACAUCCCUGCCAAAAUGGUGGAGAUCGAUGGCUGGAUGCUGGAUCCUGGCCAGUGAAAUCUCUCUGGGGAAAAGAGAGAUCAUGAGAUUGCCCAUGUGCACUCUGGACAGCCGCUCCUCAUGAACAGACUGUAGGAAUCAAGGUUUUGCUGUCAGCUUAUGAGUCGAGCGGCUGGGAGUUGAGGGAUACCAUCUAAGCUAACUGUUAUAAUGUAGCCUUUUAUGGACAAAAAACUUGACUGAACCUCAUUUCUUAAUCACCUUUGGAAUUAUUUUUUACAGCUUUGGAAAUAUUAAGAUCCUUCAGAAUGGCAAGUUUGUAUUGCAUUCACUGGGAAAAUCUCCUUAACAAAAGAAGCUUUAAACACGAUUUUUAAGGAUUUGGAAAAACAUUAUUUUUUGGAAUAAACAGCAAAAGGGUGUUUAGAA